UUAGCGGCGGACGGGUGAGUAACACGUGGGCAACCUGCCCUGCAGAUCGGGAUAACUCCGGGAAACCGGUGCUAAUACCGAAUAGUUUGCGGCCUCUCCUGAGGCUGCACGGAAAGACGGUUUCGGCUGUCACUGCAGGAUGGGCCCGCGGCGCAUUAGCUAGUUGGUGGGGUAAUGGCCCACCAAGGCGACGAUGCGUAGCCGACCUGAGAGGGUGAUCGGCCACACUGGGACUGAGACACGGCCCAGACUCCUACGGGAGGCAGCAGUAGGGAAUCUUCCGCAAUGGACGAAAGUCUGACGGAGCAACGCCGCGUGAGUGACGAAGGUUUUCGGAUCGUAAAACUCUGUUGUGAGGGAAGAACAAGUACCAMGUAACUACUGGUACCUUGACGGUACCUCACCAGAAAGCCACGGCUAACUACGUGCCAGCAGCCGCGGUAAUACGUAGGUGGCAAGCGUUGUCCGGAAUUAUUGGGCGUAAAGCGCGCGCAGGCGGUCCCUUAAGUCUGAUGUGAAAGCCCACGGCUCAACCGUGGAGGGUCAUUGGAAACUGGGGGACUUGAGUGCAGAAGAGGAAAGUGGAAUUCCAUGUGUAGCGGUGAAAUGCGUAGAGAUGUGGAGGAACACCAGUGGCGAANGCGACUUUCUGGUCUGUAACUGACGCUGANGCGCGAAAGC
rnacentral:rRNA from 1 species